UACUCAGCUCUUCGUAUGUUUGGAUGUGUGUGCUAUGUUCUUCUUGCCCCCCGAGAACGCACCAAACUGACUGCUCAGUUGGUUGAGUGUGUUUUCCUUGGCUACAGUGACGAGCACAAGGGCUAUCGAUGUUGGGAUCCAGUGGGCCGUCGCUUGCGCAUCUCGCGUGAAGUGACAUUUGAUGAGUCUCGUUCUUACUACCCACGUCCUUCUUCCUCGAGUUUCUCUGUGGACGACCUUUCUUUCCUUCUUCUUCCCAAUACACCCUGCUAUGUGCCUCAUGUGUCACCUCCUCCUCUGGCACCUCUCAUUCCUUCUCACUCACCACCGACACCAUCCUCUCCAUCCUCCUCCUCCACCUCUCUGCCAUCAUCUCUCGUCCGUCGCCCUCUCUCACCGUUUCCUCUUCACUAUACUCGUCGCUCUCGUCCUGAGGAUGUCUCCUCUGAUGAGCCUUCCACCUCUGGUUCACCUCUCACACCUCCCCCGGUUCACAACCUCCGUGCUCGGCCUCGCCCCCCGCCUGAUCGCUACUCCCCUGAUCGGUAUGGCCUCUCUGUUAUUGCUGAGCCCACUUCCUAUCGGACUGCCAUGACUCAGCCUGAAUGGCAGCUUGCGAUGGCCGAAGAGCUUGCUGCUCUGGAGCGCUCUGGCACCUGGGAUCUCGUUCCCCUUCCUUCCGGUGUCCGUCCCAUCACUUGCAAGUGGGUCUACAAGAUUAAGACUCGCUCCGAUGGUUCUCUUGAGCGCUACAAAGCUCGCCUUGUGGCCCGUGGUUUUCAGCAGGAGCAGGGGCGCGAUUAUGAUGAGACAUUCGCUCCUGUGGCCCACAUGACCACUGUCCGCACUCUUCUUGCUGUGGCCUCUGUUCGUCAAUGGUCUAUCUCUCAACUUGAUGUUCAGAACGCUUUUCUAAAUGGCGAGUUGCGUGAGGAGGUUUAUAUGCAGCCACCCCCAGGGUACUAUGCUCCUGAUGGUUUGGUCUGUAGACUCCGCCGCUCCCUCUAUGGUCUCAAACAGGCCCCUCGCGCCUGGUUUGAGCGCUUUACCUCUGUGGUGACUGCCGCUAGGUUCUUGCCCAGUGAUCAUGAUCCCGCGUUGUUUGUUCACACGUCUCCUCGUGGUCGGACUCUUCUCCUUCUCUAUGUUGAUGACAUGAUCAUCACUGGCGACGACUCUGAAUACAUUGCCUUCGUUAAGGCUCGCUUUCGCGACCAGUUUCUCAUGACUGAUCUUGGUCCCCUUCGCUAUUUUCUUGGGAUUGAGAUCUCCUCGACCUCUGAUGGCUUCUACAUCUCCCAAGAAAAAUAUAUUCAGGGUCUUCUUGCUCGCGCUGCUCUUGGUGAUGAGCGCACUGUUGUAACUCCCAUGGAGCUCAAUGUUCAGCUUCAUGCCUCUGAUGGUGACCCUCUCCCUAAUCCCACUCGCUAUCAUCAC
rnacentral:rRNA from 1 species